rnacentral:lncRNA from 12 species
GAGAAAGAAGGUCAGUAGCAAAAACCAAUUUGACAUCCCCCAGCUCGUAAUAGGAUUUACCCUAGGCUUGCAGACCUUGGAGGUGUCGCCUGUGCAAAAGCUUGAUAGUUCUGCAGCCCUGGAGUGUGUACUUGGGACCAGAGGAGUUAAGUCUUGACUGCUCUGCCUCUAGUAUGUGCUUAAUGGAACACAAACAAAAAGGAAGAGAGGCAGUGUUAAAAUAGAACCAGGGCACAGAUUGAAAUGAUACGUGAUUACUAGCAGUUGUACAAUUUAUGGGAAAAAUGUGCACACAGGUCUUUUAGGAAGUGUAAAUAAAACGGAUGGAUUUACAGAGGGGGGAAGUAUGCUUUACACACCCAGCUCCUAUAUCAACAAAUGUUGCCCUCAAGGUAAAAUUUUUAAAAAAGUUCUAAGCUUGUAUUAGUCACACCCAUUUAUUUUUGGCAUAAUUUGUGCACUAUUUGGAAGUUGGCAAGAGCAGGAAUGUUAGGGCCAACAUUUGGUCUUGCUUCAGGAGUUUCUAUGAAUAUGAAUGCCUGAAGUUUACAUAGGCUUAUGCCAUCUCCAUAGCAACGCAUGUUUGUUGUGAAAAUCUAGCCUUUUAAAGUCAAGAAUCUGUACGUUAACCUCAUAUUCAACACUCUAUCUAAUUCUGGUAUUUCAAAAACAGUUUUAGGACUGUUGCAUGUUCAAUAUUGGAUCAGAUUGGAUUGGAGGGUGAGUUAAUAGGUGUCCUUGGAAACACACACAUACCUGCUCGAACACAGUCACACUCACUGGGAGGGGAGGCCCUUGCUCAGGACAGUUAACCUGAGCAUGGCCCCACAUGGAGCCAGGCCCUUUCCUCUUCUCAGUGCUCCCCAAGGCUCCUCAAGCUCUCCCCACCCCAGCCUGGCUUCGGACGCCAUAAGGCCUGCUCUUCUUUCUGCUGUGUGAGAGGGCGACGCUUUGGGAGAGAGCAGCGGGUUCGGAACGAGGACUGGCUUCCACAUCAUAACCUGGACCCGCUUCUUAAUAGAGGCGCAUCCGCAAACCGUUGGUGGCAACUCUUAAGUCCUCCGUUUUGCUGUAAAGAAGAGGAAAAUACGUCCCACUGUGAUGGAAUAAUGGAUGUGAGAGAGCUCUGAAAAAUUCUCAGCUCUAACUCCAAUGCAGAUCUGU